rnacentral:tRNA from 2 species
UCGGGAUAGCUCAGCUGGUAGAGCAGAGGACUGAAAU